UUGGUUGAUCCUGCCAGUAGUGUAUGCUUCUCCUAAAGACUAAGCCAUGCAUGCCUUCGAAUACGAGGAAGCAAUUCUCUCUGAAUCUGCGAACGGCUCCGCAAACCAGUUGUAAACUAUAGCAAGCAGGCUUGGGGUCGGCUCUCACGGGUUGGCUUCGGGCGAUAUGGAUAACCCUGGUAAUUCUGAGGCUAAUACAUGAACGUAAAACCUGGUUGACUGGGCUUCGGUCUGGGAGGCUGGGGGAUGUGUGAUUGCAGGCUUGGGUAACACCGGGAAAGGGCGCACGUCCAGACCGCGCUAUAAAGGAUGGGACCUCUUCGGGGGACCCGCCCCAGCGGCUCUUGCUGUGUGCUUCUGACCUAUCAACUAGACGGCAGCGUAAGGGACAUGCUAUGGUGACAACGGGUACAGAGGAUUAGGGUUCGAUCCUGGAGAGUGGGCCUGAGAGAUUGCUCAU
rnacentral:rRNA from 1 species